GAAGCCGAGCUGCUUUGCUCUGUUCAAUGAGAUAUUGAUGGAGCGCUGAACUCUGUGAUAAAUGUUAACUUUUUAAUGCGCACUGUGUCCCAGAGGCAGGGCCUAGGUGGGCUAUUGAGAGAAGCAGGCUCAGCGAGCCGCUGCUCAGAAUUCCAGGAGGUUAAUUGGCAAAUCAGCCUGGAAAUGGUGGGGACCAGCUGCACGUCUUCUCUACUCUGGCUUUUCUCACUAUCCAAGGCAUCUGGGCACCAUCUUCAUGCACAAAUAGCCCGUUUCUCAACUUCUCUGGGGUUUUGGUUGACGGGACCUUUUUUUUUUUUUUUAUUGUUAUUAUUAAUGGCAUCCUCUUUUCUGACAGGCUCCAGACAGCCCCGCUGGUUCAGGUCACCAAGGUGGACUGAGAAACAGGGAUCUUGAGCAGGCCCUUUGACCGACACGUCGGUGUGGCAAGGCUGGAAGGUCUUCCUGCCUCCAGUUGCACAAAGGAAUGGGUUACAGUGGAGAUGGAGAGUUCUGGAGAUUCACACUGAGAUACGGAAAGGACCUUAAGGAGGGCCCGGGAACACGAGGACAAACUUCUAAAGCAGCCUAUAGUGAAGAAUUGCAGAGCAGUGCCGUCAAAUGAAGGACUCAGCCCCAGUGUAGGAUAAUAUUGGGACACAGAAAAUUGCAGCAGAUUGCCUAAGGCAAACCGCAACCAGCCAGCAGCCGGAUGGAGCAGAGAAGAUGCCCGUUAUGUGGGGAAUGUGAGAAGGAUGUUUUCGGGUCUGUGCGCAGCUGUGACAAGCCAGGUAGAAACGGAGUUGGCCCCCUUUCCUGUGUGGGGACUGGAUGUCCCCAAAUUAUCUACAAGAUUUCGACUUGCCAUUGCCCGCUUAGGGAAAUCAUCCAGAGAGAAUUUGUGAGGGGUAAUUGGACAAUGUGCCCUUAGCUGACUGAGGCCGAGGUUCCCUGGGGUAAGGAGUGGGUGCCGGGACAAAGCCAGCAAACUGGGAGAAAUCUAAGUUUAGAAGUGUUUAGAAAUCCGAACUGUAAGUUCAUACAUGUAAAUCACAGAAUAGUGGCACCCCAAAACGGUGAAAACUGUCUUUCCCUUUUCUCUCCGUUCUAACUAGAGGCCGUCAUUUCACCCGACAGAUAAAAGCCAGAGGGCUUUGGGGGUAAGAAGAGCAGGCUCAGUGGAAUGAGACCUGCUGUGAACCGGCGGGUCCUCAGAACUCUUAUUUCUAUAGCAGCUGAUACUGACAUACAUGACUCUGUACAUAGCAGGGAUUCCAGAGAGUUCUCAGUAUCUGGUUCAAACUCGUUUUUGCAUCUAGAGGCAAAAGGAGGCAUCAAUUCCAGAGGGUCUUCUUGACAUUCCAGAAGCCCAUCUACGUUAGACAGAAAAUUCGAAAAAGAAAUCAACCCUUUCUGCUAACCCCCAAGACACUGUAAAUACUGUGGGGAAGGCCUGCAGCCACUCUGGAGAGCGAAAGUUCUAUACUCAGCCACAUCUGGAGUUAGGCAACGCUUUGCCCUUUUUCUGUCAAUGUGACUUCGGGAAAUUUCCUUAUACUCUUUUAUGCUUGAUUUUUCCCCCUUGUGCAAAUAGAAAGAAUGGUGGAAAGUACCAUUUAGGGUUGUUAUAGGAGUGAGAGGAUGUGUGGGAAUGGCUUAGUGUGUGAUACAUAUGUUAAAAUAGUAUGCGAUUUCCUUCCUUCCAUCCUCUCUUCCUUCCUCUCUUUCUUCCUUCCUUCCUGCCUUCCU